rnacentral:rRNA from 1 species
GAUGAACGCUGGCGGCAUGCCGUACACAUGCAAGUCGAACGGCAGCACGGGUGCUUGCACCUGGUGGCGAGUGGCGAACGGGUGAGUAAUACAUCGGAACGUACCUUAUCGUGGGGGAUAACGCAGCGAAAGCUGUGCUAAUACCGCAUACGCCCUGAGGGGGAAAGCGGGGGAUCGAAAGACCUCGCGCGAUUAGAGCGGCCGAUGCCUGAUUAGCUUGUUGGUGGGGUAAAAGCCCACCAAGGCGACGAUCAGUAGCUGGUCUGAGAGGACGAUCAGCCACACUGGGACUGAGACACGGCCCAGACUCCUACGGGAGGCAGCAGUGGGGAAUUUUGGACAAUGGGGGCAACCCUGAUCCAGCAAUGCCGCGUGAGUGAAGAAGGCCUUCGGGUUGUAAAGCUCCUUUGUCAGGGAAGAAACACCGGCUCUAACACAGUCCGGGGAUGACGGUACCUGAAGAAUAAGCACCGGCUAACUACGUGCCAGCCGCCGCCGUAA